UUCUAAUAUUUAUUUGUGUCUGACACAUCCACCGUGUGAGUAAUAACGUCCAAAAGUAAGUAUUUUGAUUGUAAUAGAAUAAAUCAGUUGAAUUCCGGACAUCAUUUAAUUCGCACGAAAUUAACGUUUCCCCUAAUUUAUAAAGAUUAAUUGUUGAAUAUGGAUAAUACUUAUAUUGAGCACUGUCUUCCGAGGAGGGAAUUUUUUGAAGAAUGGGUAAAAUGCUCAACAAAA
rnacentral:lncRNA from 1 species